rnacentral:rRNA from 1 species
AUGGCCGCCUCCUCCCGCCGCGCGUCCCAGAUGCUGGGCUCCGCCGCCUCCCGCCUCCUCCAUUCGCGUGCCUACGCGGCCGCCGCCGCCGCGCCCUCUCCGGCGGUCUUCGUCGACAAGAGCACCCGCGUGAUCUGCCAGGGCAUCACCGGAAAGAACGGCACCUUCCACACCGAGCAGGCCAUCGAGUACGGCACCAACAUGGUAGGUGGAGUUACUCCCAAGAAAGGUGGAACUGAGCACCUAGGCCUUCCAGUUUUCAACUCGGUAGCAGAAGCUAAGGCCGAGACAAAGGCCAAUGCAUCUGUUAUAUAUGUUCCACCACCAUUUGCUGCCGCUGCAAUAAUGGAGGCAUUGGAAGCAGAGCUUGACCUUGUUGUCUGCAUUACUGAAGGGAUACCUCAGCAUGACAUGGUGAAAGUGAAGGCUGCUCUGAACAGGCAAUCAAAAACCAGAUUGAUCGGACCAAACUGCCCUGGUAUCAUUAAGCCAGGUGAAUGUAAGAUUGGAAUCAUGCCAGGUUACAUCCACAAACCAGGACGCAUUGGAAUAGUAUCUCGUUCUGGUACCUUGACAUAUGAAGCGGUGUUUCAAACAACAGCCGUAGGAUUGGGGCAGUCAACUUGUGUGGGCAUGGGUGGUGACCCCUUUAACGGCACUAAUUUUGUUGACUGCCUUGAAAAGUUUGUUGAUGAUCCUCAGACAGAAGGUAUUGUUCUCAUUGGAGAAAUUGGAGGUACUGCUGAGGAGGAUGCUGCAGCCUUUAUCCAGGAGAGCAAAACAGAAAAGCCCGUCGUUGCAUUCAUAGCUGGACUUACUGCACCCCCGGGCCGUCGUAUGGGCCAUGCUGGAGCAAUUGUGUCAGGGGGAAAGGGUACCGCCCAAGACAAGAUCAAGGCACUCAGGGAUGCUGGGGUUACUGUUGUCGAGUCACCAGCUAAGAUCGGUUCAACCAUGUUCGAACUUUUCAAGCAGCGCGGAAUGGUAGAGUAG